GGAGGGUGCAAGCGUUGUUCGGAAUCACUGGGCGUAAAGGGCGUGUAGGCGGUCCGCUAAGUCUGAUGUGAAAGCCCGGGGCUCACCCCCGGAAGGGCAUUGGAAACUGGCGGACUCGAGUCCCGGAGAGGAAGGUGGAAUUCCUGGUGUAGCGGUGAAAUGCGUAGAUAUCAGGAGGAAUACCGGUGGCGAAGGCGGCCUUCUGGACGGUGACUGACGCUGAGACGCGAAAGCGUGGGGAGCAAACAGGAUUAGAUACCCUGGUAGUCCACGCUGUAAACGAUGAGCACUAGGUGUCGUGGGUAUUGACCCCCGCGGUGCCGACGCUAACGCAUUAAGUGCUCCGCCUGGGGACUACGGCCGCAAGGUUAAA
rnacentral:rRNA from 1 species